rnacentral:rRNA from 1 species
UACGGAGGAUGCGAGCGUUAUCCGGAUUUAUUGGGUUUAAAGGGUGCGUAGGCGGGCUUUUAAGUCAGCGGUAAAAAUUCGGGGCUCAACCCCGUCCGGCCGUUGAAACUGGGGGUCUUGAGUGGGCGAGAAGAAGGCGGAAUGCGUGGUGUAGCGGUGAAAUGCAUAGAUAUCACGCAGAACCCCGAUUGCGAAGGCAGCCUUCCGGCGCCCUACUGACGCUGAGGCACGAAGGUGCGGGGAUCGAACAGG